GAUGAACGCUGGCGGCGUGCCUAAUACAUGCAAGUCGAGCGAACGGACGAGAAGCUUGCUUCUCUGAUGUUAGCGGCGGACGGGUGAGUAACACGUGGAUAACCUACCUAUAAGACUGGGAUAACUUCGGGAAACCGUAGCUAAUACCGGAUAAUAUUUUGAACCGCAUGGUUCAAAAGUGAAAGACGGUCUUGCUGUCACUUAUAGAUGGAUCCGCGCUGCAUUAGCUAGUUGGUAAGGUAACGGCUUACCAAGGCAACGAUGCAUAGCCGACCUGAGAGGGUGAUCGGCCACACUGGAACUGACACACGGUCCAGACUCCUACGGGAGGCAGCAGUAGGGAAUCUUCCGCAAUGGGCGAAAGCCUGACGGAGCAACGCCGCGUGAGUGAUGAAGGUCUUCGGAUCGUAAAACUCUGUUAUUAGGGAAGAACAUAUGUGUAAGUAACUGUGCACAUCUUGACGGUACCUAAUCAGAAAGCCACGGCUAACUACGUG
rnacentral:rRNA from 1 species